UAAAAAUUUAAAUUGAAAAUACUAAAAUAGUAAAUAAUUAUUUAUUAAAACUUAAAUGUUUUGGCGGUAUUUUAGUUUAUUUAGAGGAAUCUGUUUAUUAAUUGAUAAUCCACGAAUAAAUUUACUUAAUUUAUUAUUUUGUAUAUCAUUGUUAAAUAAAUAUUUUUUAAUAAUUAAUAAUAUUUUAAAAUUAUAAAUAAAAAUUAAAUCAAAUCAAGAUGCAGAUUAUAAUUAAGAAUAUAAUGGAUUACAAUAAUUUUAUUUAAAUGAAUUUUAAUUUGUAAUAAUUAAAUGAAGGUGGAUUUAAAUGUAAUUUUAUUUAUUUUAAUAAUUUGAUUAAAAAUUAAAAUAUGUA
rnacentral:rRNA from 1 species